GUGGGCCUGCGUCCGACAGCGCGCGGCCGUGCUUUCUAAGCGGGCUCGGCAGCACCAGACUUCACCGGCCCGGCGCGGGGCUCACAAGUGCUCGCACUCCCUGCGGCCGGCGCGCUGACCGGAGCCUCUGGGUCUCGCACGCAGCAGCUGCAGACGCUGCCCGGCGCGGUGGGGCUGUGAGCAAAACGGCCCGCCGGUGUGGUUGCCCAGACUGUGCUGGGCCCUCCUAGGUGGAUGGCCCUGCCCCAGCCUAACUUCUGUACCCCAGCAUAACCUCCAAAGUAACAGCCGUGCCCUGGGAGCCUGUUCAACACUGAACAUAUCCCACAAUAACACUGUUCCAGCGUCGCUGGUAAAAAGCAGAAAUGGCUUCGGUUAUUCAUUUUAAAUUGCAGCUGGAGGCAUCGACAAAUCUAAUGCAGUAACCUCAUUUUACAGAAGAGAACUCUAAGAGGAUAACUAACUUGGCCAAGAUCACAUGAUGUUUCUGGAUGAGAUUAGCAUUCAAAUUCGUGGACUCAUUAAAGUAGAUGGCUCUCUCCAAUAUGGGUGGGCAUCAUCCAAUCUGUUGAAGGCGUGAAGAGAACAAGAGAAGGAGGAAGGAAGAAUUCACCUUUUUUCUUGCUGCCCACCUGCUUGGGCUGGGACAUUGCAUCUCACCUUCUCCAGCCUUUGGAUGAGGAUUUACACCCUGGUUCUCAGGC
rnacentral:lncRNA from 1 species